UACAGAGGGUGCGAGCGUUAAUCGGAAUUACUGGGCGUAAAGCGCACGUAGGUGGCGACGUAAGUCGGGUGUGAAAGCCCCGGGCUCAACCUGGGGAAUUGCAUUCGAGACUGCAUUGCUGGAGUACGGAAGAGGAGGGCGGAAUUCCCGGUGUAGCGGUGAAAUGCGUAGAUAUUGGGAGGAACAUCAGGUGGCGAAGGCGGCUACCUGG
rnacentral:rRNA from 1 species